rnacentral:ncRNA from 1 species
UUAGUUUGAUUCUAACUAAAUUAUUAAAUUCUAUUUUAUACCUCAUGUAUAAUUAAACUUAAAGUACAAAUAUUUAGUAUAACAAAAAUGUAUAAUCUAAUAAUACAGUGGGUAAAACUAAUCAAUAUAUGAAAGUGUGAAUUGGUAAAAAUAGUUAAUGUCGGCCAAAUUCGUGCCAGCAGCCGCGGUUAGACGAAAGACCUUUAAUAAUAAAAACUCUUAAGGAUAUAAUAAAAUUAACUAAUAAGUUUAAUUAACACAUAAAUUGAACCUAAAAUAUCAACCCCAAACUAUUUACUAAAACAAGGAUUAGAUACCCUUCUAUUAAUAGCUUAUCCUCAGAGUUGGAAAAUACGAACAACAGUUUAAACACCAAAGAAUUUGGCGGUGUCUUAUUCAAUUAGGGGAACCUGUCCUUUAAUUCGAUAAUCCACGUUGGCCCCACCUAAUUUUGAAACUCAGUUAGUGUACUGCCGUCUAAAGUAUACCUUCAUGAGUGUAUACCAAAAAUUUAUAAAAAAAUUAUACGUCAGGUCAAAGUGCAGCUUAUAAUUAGGUUGAGAUGGGUUACAACCUUAAUAUAGAUACGGAAUAAGUUAAUAAAUUAAUUUAUAAAGGUGGACUUAACAGUAAUUAUAAAGAUCUUAUAAUGAAUCUUUAAUUAAGACAAGUACAAAUCGCCCGUCACUCCUUAAAGGAUAAGUCGUAACAUAGUUGAUGUAACGGAAGUUGCAUCUGU